GACGAACGCUGGCGGCGUGCCUAACACAUGCAAGUCGAACGGAACUGUUUUGAAAGUUUUCUUCGGAAUGAAUUUGAUUUAGUUUAGUGGCGGACGGGUGAGUAACGCGUGAGUAACCUGCCUUCAAGAGGGGAAUAACAUUCUGAAAAGAAUGCUAAUACCGCAUGACAUAUCGGAACGACAUGGUGUUGAUAUCAAAGAUUUUAUCGCUUGAAGAUGGACUCGCGUCGGAUUAGUUAGUUGGUGAGGUAACGGCUCACCAAGACCGCGAUCGGUAGCCGGACUGAGAGGCAGGACGCCCACAUCGGGACUGAGACACGGCACAGACUCCUACGGGAGGCAGCAGUGGGGGAUAUUGCGCAACGGGGGCAACCAUGACGCAGCUACGCCGCGUGAAGGAUGAAGGUUGUCGGAUUGUAAACUUCUUUUAUUAAGGACGAAAAAUGACGGUACUUAAUGAAUAAGCUCCGGCUAACUACGUG
rnacentral:rRNA from 1 species